rnacentral:misc_RNA from 1 species
GAGAAGAACGCAGUGAAAUGCGAUAAGUAAUGUGAAUUGCAGAAUUCAGUGAAUCAUCGAAUCUUUGAACGCACAUUGCGCCCAUUAGUAUUCUAGUGGGCAUGCCUGUUCGAGCGUCAUUAAGUCCACUUAAGCCCUGCUUAGUGUUGGGAGACUGCUCCAGCGGUGCUACCCUGUAGCUACCCUGCAGCUCCUCAAAGACAGCGGCGGAGUUGUGGUAUCCUCUGAGCUUAGUAACUUGUUCUAGCUUUCGAGUACACCACUUCCCCUGCCGUAAAACCCUUAAUUUUUAAUGGUUGACCUCGGAUCAGGUAGGAAUACCCGCUGAACUUAAGCAUAUCAAUAAGCGGAGGA